CCUACGGGGGGCAGCAGUGAGGAAUAUUGGUCAAUGGUCGGGAGACUGAACCAGCCAAGCCGCGUGAGGGAUGAAGGUACAGAGUAUCGUAAACCUCUUUUGUCAGGGAACAAAGGCGGGGACGUGUCCCCGGAUGAGUGUACCUGAAGAAAAAGCAUCGGCAAACUCCGUGCCAGCAGCCGCGGUAAUCCGGAGGAUGCGAGCGUUAACCGGAUUUAUGGGGUUAAAGGGUGGCGGAGGCGGUCUGUUAAGUCAGCGGUCAAAGCCCGGGGCUCAACCCCGGCCCGCCGUUGAAACUGGGAGUCUCGAGUUGGAGAGAAGUAUGCGGAAUGCGCGGUGUAGCGGUGAAAUGCAUAGAUAUCGCGCAGAACUCCGAUUGCGAAGGCAGCAUGCCGGCUCCACACUGACGCUGAGGCACGAAAGCGUGGGUAUCGAACAGGAUUAGAUACCCUUGUAGUC
rnacentral:rRNA from 1 species